GGAUGGCCUCUUCUCCAGGUCCUGCCUCCAAGGGUAGUCAAAAGAUGGCCCUUGGCAGGGAGGUGUGGCUGGAGCUUGAUGAACAGGCCCUCAAAGAAUGGGAUGGAACCUGGGUAAGAAGAGCUAUGAGGUGGAGCCUGUUCCCUCUGAACCUCAGAUUUCAGUCAGCCAAGUCUAUAUAAAGGUUUAUUUGUCAAAGUAGGAGGACAGGACACGUUUAAGUUUGUUAGCUUGAUUUGUAAGUUUCAAAUUUGUAGCCGUGUGGUAGAAACUGUCUGGGUGCUGCAGACAGUUGCACCAGCCUGCUGUGUGCACAGCUCUUUUCAGGGCUCCAGAAGACACAAGUUCAGUUAAAGCCCACUACCCCUGUCCUUGGGCUCAUUUGGUGAGGCCACUGGGCUAGUGUGUGGAAGAAGGGACAGUGAGAAAAUGAGUGACCCCCCAACAAGGAUGGAUGGUCCUCCUGGCUUCUCAGCACACUGAGGAAGAAACACCACCCCACCUCCAGACUCCUCCCCAGGGCUUUCUUUACAGGUUUGCAAUGAGGAUGGCUUCCUUAGGACCACGACCUACGAAGGUUCACACAGUGGAUUCUUAACCACUGGACCACCAGGGAAGGCCACUUUGUUUUUUAAAAAAUAAGCCUUAGCUGGCUAAGGUAUAGACUAAAGUCUGCUAACGAAGUAACUACCAUCCAAAACCCUCCAACCCCCACACCUUGCUUCCCUCAAGUGCGUGAGAAUUGGCAGUUAGCCCUCCUGCCUGUGGGCUCUCCCCUGCUGCUAAGUUGCUUCAGUCGUGUCCGACUCUGCGCGACCUCAUAGACGGCAGCCCACCAGGCUCCCCUGCCCCUGGGAUUCUCCAGGCAAGAACACUGGAGUGGGUUGCCAUUUCCUUCCCCAAUUCAUGAAAGUGAAAAGUGAAAGUGAAGUCUCUCAGUCAUGUCCCACUCUUCGCGACCCCAUGGACUGCAGCCCACCAGGCUCCUCCGUCAUGGGAUUUUCCAGGCAAGAGUACUGGAGUGGGGUGCCAUUGCCUUCUCCGGGCUCUCCCCUUCCAACUGUGAAAUCUUCCCUUCCUUGGUUCUGCUUACCAGCCCUACCACAGACCUACCUUACUAGAUAAAAGCGCAGGUCGAUAAAUGAAUCAGUGGGGUACCAAGCCCAGGCUUCCAUCAUGGCCCACUGGCAGCCUUUGGCCCAAGGUCUUUAGGCCUCACCUGACCCUUUGGCAUCCUAAAGGGCACAGUCAAGCCCCUGGCUGAGCUGCAGGCCCUCAAGCCCCACCAGCCUCUGUAGGGCUGAUUCAUGUGGCCUGGUCGUGUCUUUGGAUUUGGACUUGGAAAUCUCACAGGUUGGGGUCAAAGCCCACCCUGCAUCCUACCCAGAGCUGCCCAAGAGAAAAAAAAGCUGCAUCCCUGAGAGUGUGUCUGCUGAGCCGCCAUGAGAGAAUGUGGAGGAGCCCCUGGAAAACAAAACUCUGUGACUGGAAUGAGGCAGCAGAGUAGCCACCGCUGCUGUGGGAAUUUUCUCUAAGAUCAGCAU
ensembl:lncRNA